rnacentral:rRNA from 1 species
UACGUAGGGCGCGAGCGUUGUCCGGAAUUAUUGGGCGUAAAGAGCUCGUAGGUGGUUGGUCGCGUCUGCCGUGAAAACCCAUGGCUUAACUGUGGGCUUGCGGUGGAUACGGGCCGACUUGAGGUAGGUAGGGGAGAAUGGAAUUCCCGGUGUAGCGGUGAAAUGCGCAGAUAUCGGGAGGAACACCGGUGGCGAAGGCGGUUCUCUGGGCCUUACCUGACGCUGAGGAGCGAAAGCGUGGGGAGCGAACGGG